rnacentral:miRNA from 1 species
AAUACAGGCUGCCCAGUUAAGCUUGAAUUUCAGAUAAAGAAUGUAUUUUUAACAUAGGUAUGUCCCCUCAAUAUUUGGGACAUACGUAUACUAAAAAUGUAUUUGUUGUUGAUCUGAAAUUCUAAUUUAACUUGGCGUCCUGUAUUAU